AACUUCUGGGGCAGAAAAAGAAACUGCCCUUGUUCUCAAAUCACUUCUAGAUCUGACGACCCUGGUAAACAGGAGACGAAUACCUAAAGCAGGCUUUCAGCACCAAGAAGGAAGGAAAGGGACAAACUGGGCCUAAUUCCUAAGUCUCCAGAAUGGGGGAAGCGGAGGAAGCCUUGAUGCGGGGAGGGACCCGGAUCCGGCCUAAACCAGCGCCUGCCGGGUCAAGACCAGUGAGGAGCCCGUGGAGAAAGGAGCGGGAGUGGGGGCGCGAGGGCGAGCGGGGACCGAGAGCCCCGGGGCGAGAAGCCAUUUGUCCGGAUGGGCAGAGGAGACUGGCGAGGUGUAAACGGUGAGGCCGGCGUGAGAGGACAGCAGUCGCCUUUGAGUCUUGCUCUACGAGAUUGUUAUCACAGAUCUAGCAAGAGGGCUGGUGGCUUUUAGUCACUGUAUCAAAUCUAUUCUACUCCUCCUGAUGAAGCUUGGAUGAAUACGUCCUCAUGGAAAGAACCGUCAAGGAGGGCAGCGACACUGCAGCGGGACCCGGCUCCCAGCAUGGGCAGGAGCAGCAGAGUGGAAGCGACUCCUGGUGCGCCCAGAUCGAGAGCUCUGUGACAGCCCCACGGACUUUCCACAGCCCAGGAGCAACAUGGGAGGGGGCAGGAUUUCCUCCAGGCCCUUAGAAAGGGGCACAGAAGCAGGAGAAAAGAAUCAGAUCUGUACAGGCCUUGCCUGGGGAGUGAGCAAGUGCAGCCGCAAAGGGGCAUGGGGCAGCGACCAAGAACGGGACGGUAUGAUACAGACCUGGGAGGCUGGUGUGGACAGAUGACCUGGCUCAGAGGCCCUUCUCUCCACUCCCUGCAGCCUCCCCUUAUCCAGAAUGGGGACACAAUCCCCAGGGAUAGAAAACUAUCCCGCGGUAACAGAAAUUGUCAGCCACCAAGCAGAAUGAGGAUUUGAAAUGGAAAUGACAUUGAUUUAAACAAAAAAGUAACGUUUCUUACACACUCGGGCUGUGUUCUGAGAUUCUUGCGUUCUCAGGUGAGCAAGGUCAAAACUGAUGGUCAGAGGUAGCGAGCCCUUUAGACUGGUCGUGAUACACCCUGACCUCUAGGGGGCAGUCGAAGCUCCGCCCACCUGACUCAUCCCGAGGAGGAAAGGAAAGUUGAUCAGGGUCUUCAGGGAAGGGCCAAGAGGGCCAGAUUUCAGAUGAAGGAACAAAGGGAUCGUGAAUCGACCUGGAGCACAUGGAAACCCCCCCUUGCAUUGUUUCUCUCCGCACAGAAUCCCAAACAUCUGAGCCCCUGAUGUAGGGAGGUGGGGUCCACAGAUAGUUGAGAAACAACCUCUUCCCGCCCUCCGCUCCCCUGGAGUGAGGGCUUAGGCAGGGCUGCCCUCAGCCUCCCUGAGAAGCUGGGCCUCUCUUGUUUGGUCACUUUGUGGGGGCUGGAGUCUUCCUCUUGCCUUCAGGGGCCCUCGGGGCUAAGGCUGGGCAUGGACUCAGCGCCAACGGGUGAGGAGGCCAGGCAGGGGCCUCCAGUAGGUGUUUCAUGAACAGGGCAGAGAAAAUGCAAAUAUCUACAGUAAA